GAUGAACGCUGGCGGCGUGCUUAACACAUGCAAGUCGAACGAUGAAGCCCAGCUUGCUGGGUGGAUUAGUGGCGAACGGGUGAGUAACACGUGAGUAACCUGCCCUUGACUCUGGGAUAAGCCUGGGAAACUGGGUCUAAUACUGGAUAUGACUUCUCAUCGCAUGGUGGGGGGUGGAAAGAUUUAUUGGUCUUGGAUGGACUCGCGGCCUAUCAGCUUGUUGGUGAGGUAAUGGCUCACCAAGGCGACGACGGGUAGCCGGCCUGAGAGGGUGACCGGCCACACUGGGACUGCGACACGGCCCAGACUCCUACGGGAGGCAGCAGUGGGGAAUAUUGCACAAUGGGCGCAAGCCUGAUGCAGCGACGCUGCGUGAGGGAUGACGGCCUUCGGGUUGUAAACCUCUUUCAGUAGGGAAGAAGCGAGAGUGACGGUACCUGCAGAAGAAGCGCCGGCUAACUACGUG
rnacentral:rRNA from 1 species